AUUGAACGCUGGCGGCAGGCUUAACACAUGCAAGUCGAGCGGGGUGAUGGUGCUUGCACUAUCACUUAGCGGCGGACGGGUGAGUAAUGCUUAGGAAUCUGCCUAUUAGUGGGCGACAACAUCUCGAAAGGGAUGUUAAUACCGCAUACGUCCUACGGGAGAAAGCAGGGGAUCACUUGUGACCUUGCGCUAAUAGAUGAGCCUAAGUCGGGUUAGCUAGUUGGUGGGGUAAAGGCCUACCAAGGCGACGUUCUGUAGCGGGUCUGAGAGGAUGAUCCGCCACACUGGGACUGGGACACGGCCCAGACUCCUGCGGGAGGCAGCAGUGGGGAAUAUUGGACAAUGGGGGGAACCCUGAUCCAGCCAUGCCGCGUGUGUGAAGAAGGCCUUAUGGUUGUAAAGCACUUUAAGCGAGGAGGAGGCUCUUUUGGUUAAUACCCAAGAUGAGUGGACGUUACUCGCAGAAUAAGCACCGGCUAACUCUGUGCCAGCAGCCGCGGUAA
rnacentral:rRNA from 1 species